CAUCUUCUUGCAUCCUUGGCCCAUAGAACCUACAAACACACAAAAAUGGCUUAAACUACUAACAUAACUAAGAACUAAGAACAUAAAUGCACGAAAACAAACAUACUAAGUCGCAUAAAUAUGCUCCUAUCAAAUUCCCCCACACUUAGCUUUUGCUAGUCCUCGAGCAAAACAAAGAAACAAAACAUAAGAACAAAACAAAACCUAAACCUUCCAAUAUUUACCUUAGGGAUUUUCAAUGCAACAUGACAUGCAAAAGAUCAUCAUAACCAC
rnacentral:lncRNA from 1 species